GACGAACGCUGGCGGCGUGCUUAACACAUGCAAGUCGAACGGAAAGGCCCUGCUUUUGUGGGGUGCUCGAGUGGCGAACGGGUGAGUAACACGUGAGUAACCUGCCCUUGACUUUGGGAUAACUUCAGGAAACUGGGGCUAAUACCGGAUAGGAGCUCCUGCUGCAUGGUGGGGGUUGGAAAGUUUCGGCGGUUGGGGAUGGACUCGCGGCUUAUCAGCUUGUUGGUGGGGUAGUGGCUUACCAAGGCUUUGACGGGUAGCCGGCCUGAGAGGGUGACCGUCCACAUUGGGACUGAGAUACGGCCCAGACUCCUACGGGAGGCAGCAGUGGGGAAUAUUGCACAAUGGGCGGAAGCCUGAUGCAGCAACGCCGCGUGCGGGAUGACGGCCUUCGGGCUGUAAACCGCUUUCGCCUGUGACGAAGCGUGAGUGACGGUAAUGGGUAAAGAAGCACCGGCUAACUACGUG
rnacentral:rRNA from 1 species